AAAAUGAUAUGAUAAUAUGCUUUGGCAUCUGAUAAACAGGACAGGACAUGGUAUCAUAGACAUGCAUGGUACUCUAGUCAGAUAGGCCUCUGAUUGUCUUUUCUCACAGAACAGAGUACAUGUGCAUGAUGAUGUUACGGUCUGAUGUCAAAUAGGCUUUUCACAUUUAUGAAUUUACGAAACAACACAAACAAUAAUAAUAACAACAACACUAAAAGCUCCUACUUCAACCACAGCGUUCUGAUUUCAGUGGGGCAGAUAUGGAGUUUGAUAAGGAUGUUUUGAUGCGCCGGCCGAGUUACUGUGACGUGACAUGAUGUGGGGCAGAUAUGGAGUUUGAUAAGGAUGUUUCUGAGGUUUCGGCCUGGUCUCUGUAACGUGACAUGCUAUGGAGCAGGUGUAUAGUUGGAUAAGGAUCAUUCUGAUGCUCAGGCCUGGUCUCUGUAACGUGACAUGCUAUGGAGCAGGUGUAUAGUUGGAUAAGGAUCAUUCUGAUGCUCAGGCCUGGUCUCUGUAACGUGAUGCGCUAUGGAGCAGGUGUAUAGUUGGAUAAGGAUCAUUCUGAUGCUCAGGCCUGGUCUCUGUAACGUGGUGGUGUCUUGUUUCAGGAAUGUGAGCUGAGCAAGAAGAGAAAAGAAUGUGAAAACUUGGAACAUGAAGUUAGGAAGAGACAGAAGGGAUGUCUGGAUUUGGAGAGCCAGCUUGAGGAUGAGCGAGGCAAAAAUGGGCAUCUAGAGGAGGAGGCAGAUCUCCUCAGGAGGAAGGCACAGCUGCUCGACCAGACCUGGGUUGAGAAUGAGGAGCUGAGAGAACACCUCUCUGAAGUGACCGCUCAACGUGAUUCAGGUCUCAAGGAGAACCAGAGACUCCGUGUCAAACUGGAGAACCUGGAGCAGGUCCUAAAGGUACAGGCUGAUCUCUGGUGUAGAGCAGGUCCUAAAGGUACAGGCUGAUCUCUAGUGUAGAGCAGGUCCUAAAGGUAC
rnacentral:lncRNA from 1 species